AAUAUUCCAUUUGCGGCGAAAUGAGUGACAUAUAUACGGAAUAAAAGCAUUCAACUCUACUGUAAUAUUGUUGAAAAACGAAAUACGGCGUUAAACCAAAAAAGAAGAAGAAGAAGAAAAACCUGAAGCAUAAUACAUACAAACACCUUUACAAGAUACAAAAAUGACAUAACCUCAACAUGCAGGAAACCUCCCUAAAUGGAAUUUUACAGAUUGAAACAGAUCUUCUCCUGUUAAUGUGGACCAUAUUUGUGAUACAAAUUUUGCCUAUAGCAACAUACAGCAACGGUUACCUUCCCUAACGCCUACAGUAAGGGGAGACCACUACAGUAUGAGAUAGUGGUAUGGCAGUAGAUAUGUUAUCUUCAGGAAAUCGCUUGUUAUAAAAGUGGUUACUGAGUAUGAAUUAACGACAUUGUAUAAAUAGAUAUAUAACAACUCGUGGUUGAAGGUAACACUGGACACAUGCCUACUGCUCAUGGAUCAAAAUCAUUUAGACCGCAUAUCUCAACCGACUUUUAACAGGUUAUUUAUGGGUCAAGGUAACAUUUUGUAGAAUUACAUUAGUCAGAAUCUAAUUUUAUGGGUAUGAAGUUGUGUGGUUUGCUCCUGACAGCUGUUGUAUUCUCAGGGAUACGAGUUUGUGAGUUUUUAUUAAAUGUAAAAUGAAUUGCUAGAUUUAAUUUCCUGGAGUGGCCCCAAAAUGACAGGACAAUGGCAUAUCAACACUGCGCCCACCGUAAAAUUCAUUCAGAGGGUGCAUAGAAACUGUUGCCCUCCAAAAAAGAACUGAUAAAUGUUUCAGGCAGAUUUUUAAUAACAUGUACUAAUGAAAUCUUGCAUCUUAAAAGUGGAACAAUAAUGGAUUUUAAAUUCUACUAAGACUCACAAGUUCAAGAAUGUAUAAGCAAACCAACGUGAAUUCUUCAAGGACAUGAUGCGUUGCACUGUGGAAGAGGACACGAGUCAAUAAGAUGAUGAAAACAACUUCCGCUUGGGUGCUGAUGACGCCGAUGUCUACUCUUUCUUCGUCCUGAAAUACAGAAAAUGUAAAACAUGACUGCAUCACAACUUACGAUACAUUAUCCAACGUUUUUCUAACUUCCUGACCAAGUUUAUGAAGAUACUCCCACUGAGAUUUGGUUACAGUUGCGGCAGUGUUGUCUCCCUUGAUCUGAGUCUGUUC
rnacentral:lncRNA from 1 species